GGUACCCUUCCCAUAGAGAGCUUAUAGUGUGUGUGAUUUUACAGUAAUACAAAAGAAGCCUGUCAUUGCCCAUCAGUCCUUCUCCAGAGUGAUGCUAGUUGGCAUUUCUAUAGAGUAUUCUGGUUGAAGGGGUGGCCCAGUGGUAGAGAUUUAUAAGUUCAUUUUCAUGUUCAGUCUUUCCAGAACCUAAAAAAAAAAAAACCUAAAAAAGCCCAUGCAAUGUGGCACAUUUUACAAAGUCAAAAGGGCUUAGCUUUUUUUUUUACCAGCCAGUGUAUUUCAUACAUAGUCAUGCCUCACCAUGAUUGUAAAUUUCAACUUGGCUAUCUUAAUUCUAACUACUACAUACCUAUGAGGUUUUAAAGCCUGAUAGGUGGUUCUCACAUACUUUGACACCUUUGAAUAAAGGCCUGGGAUUAAGGUGAGCCAUAGUUUGGCCUGCACAGUCUGGUGCUUCAUUACCUCUAUAUCACAGAAUACAAGAAGUUGAGAAAGUGAAUGUUUGAGUCCAGGAUCUUGAGAGAAAGAUACUUGAAUCAUCCAGAAUUUAGGUUUUUCUCUCAUUUUAAUUGUUUAAGCUAUAAAAUUAAUUCAUUAAAAAGCAAUUGAAUCAGGUACAUCUUAGAAAUUUAGGUCAAAAUACUAUUCUAAUCCAUAUUAAUGGAUUCUAGGAUAUUAUCCAUUACUACUUACGUCUACCUAAAUAUGUAGCUGUUUUGACAGACUUCUGCUAACCACUGCUUAUAUGAAAUUUGCUUGGUAGAAAACCACUAACUUAAUUUGAUUUGAUAUGGGGGUUUAUAGCACAAUAGCUAACAAUCCUAACAACAGCUUUGUUGAAAUUAGAAUAAAAGCUCGUCCAAGGGAAAUUUGCUGAAUGAAGUUACCCAUCAAACUUAAAGGGGCUAGAAAGAUAACGUUUACAUUUAAGUGCUAUUCUUCAGUUCUUCAUUAAGUUUCCAAGUUUUAGAGUUUAAGGUAUGGUGUGAAGACUAUAUCCUCAGAGUAGUAGAUUUGCCAUUCAGUAAGUUCUGAGACAUUAUGAGGUGCCCACAGUAUGCAAAAUUGGAGAGAUACUCAGGUGGUCCUCAGUAGAUCGAUCAUAUGUGGAUCUUGUGCAUGGAACCUAUCACCACCCAAGGUGAGGGCCUAACACAACUGAGUCAGCAGUUUACAAGGAACCUAGCAAGACAGAACAAUUGUGCACCUGUUAAAAUGCCUAAUCAAUGCUGUAUAAAAUAUGACAGGCACUUAAGCUUAAAACCAAAACUGUGCAAGAGCUGCACUUACAUUUUUGAAGGGGGUUAUUAGAAAGUGGCAGAGGUCAUUUUGUGCUCACAGAUAAACACUAGGGAAACCAGGAAUGUUACCCAGUAUUGUCCCCUCAAUGGGAGACAAGUGUAACCUAUUUUUUUGCCUAGAAGACUGGGAGCAGGCAUUGUAAUAUAGCCCGGAGCCUUUUGCACUACGUAGCCAGGACCACACUGUUCCUCUCCCAGAGGAUCAAUCUAUAGAACCCAUCUUGGAAAGUAUUAUGUUUACAGAGUUUUGAUUUAAUCACACCUUAAACUUUAUUAUGCACAUGGGCUUGAGUUAAUUAUCUCCAGGAAAAGUUUGCUGAAUUGUGCUGUACUUAAAUAUGCC
rnacentral:lncRNA from 1 species